CACGUAGGGCGCGAGCGUUGUCCGGAAUUAUUGGGCGUAAAGAGCUCGUAGGCGGCUUGUCACGUCGGCUGUGAAAACCCGGGGCUCAACCCCGGGCCUGCAGUCGAUACGGGCAAGCUAGAGUUCGGCAGGGGAGACUGGAAUUUCCGGUGUAGCGGUGAAAUGCGUAGAUAUCGGAAGGAACAUCAGUGGCGAAAGCGGCUUCCUGGACCAGUACCGACGUUCAGGCACGAAAGCGUGGGGAGCAAACAGG
rnacentral:rRNA from 1 species